rnacentral:lncRNA from 1 species
GUACAGAUCGGGCGUAGCUUGGAUUCAUUAGCCCCCUAAAUGAAGACCUGAGGAGCCCUGAAAGGGCCGGGCACACGGUACCAUAGGGUGCUGAAUGAAGACCUGAGGAGCUCCUUCGCGAGCCGGGCAAUGUGGGGGAAUUUUGAAUUAGUCCGUCUGAGAUUAUGUGAUUUACUUGUGUUAUGAUGCAUUCCAUGAG